rnacentral:tRNA from 1 species
UAGGGCGUGGCGCAGUCCGGCUAGCACGUGGCGCUUGAAGCGCCAAGGUCGGAGGUUCGAAUCCUCUCGCCCCGA